rnacentral:rRNA from 1 species
GAGUUGACACACUAGCUCCAGGGGGGUUGGACCUUCGUCGCGGUCUAGCGCAAACGCCCCCCUAAACACACCUUGAUGCUGGGAAGCCCUUAGAGCCCAGGCCGCCAAAGUCGGGUCCGAAAGGACUCGGCCUGAGCUACGAUUUGCGUAGCGGGAGAUAGCGCCUGGGAUUGGGUAAUCAGCAGGGUAACUACUUAACCUAUUGGAAAAAAGGGGCCUUUCGGGGCUUGCUGUGCCAGUAGUAACGGUAGGCUCUCAACGACUGAACGGGUGUGGGUUGGCAGUUGGGGGGACUUCGGUUCCCCGCCCUGCUGGCUUAAGAUACAGUCUACUCCCCAGGGAAACCUGGCCUGCCCUUAAGCAAGGCGGGGACUUUAGACUCCGGUCGGAAAUGGCCGGAAGAGGUUGGUAUAAAGGAACUAUGACUCUCUUGAAAGUAGCUCGAGAGAGAUAGCUGGGUGCCCGGGAAACUGGGUACUACGCCAGCUAGUUAAGGCCUUACGGUGGUAGGGGAAGUCCCCACGUGCAGUAUCAUCGACAGUAGACUAGUACUGGGACCAGGGAUGGCCCGGGAAUACCCUGCUGGAAGCUUUAGCGACACCACCUGGUUCGGGGGAGGUCGGGCGGGGGCCAUCACUUCAGGGUGAUCCUGCUCGGUUAAUCCCGAUGUGAAUCGGAGUAACGUCUGAUCGCGGUAACGUGCGGUAAGGGGUGCGUUGGGUAGGUUCGCCUACCUGGCGUGAGGUACGUACUAAACCCACCCAUAACAGGGUGCCUGCUAUGUGAGCACUGCGCAAGCAAGCUAGCAGGGUGGCAUUGAGGCCGGGACCAAAUACCCGGAAGAGCCUGGUACAAUUGAAGGUAGCCAAAUGCCUCGUCAUCAUACGAAAAAAAGGUACGGGUAAAACUCGGUCCUAGAAUGCUUCGUCAUCAUACGUACAAAGGGGGGUCCGGGAGUUUCUCGGUUGGGGUGUUCCGGCCAGUUCAUUUUGGCUGGGGAAUUCCUGGAUCCCAGUGUGCCUCGUCAUCAUACGUUUAAGGGGGGUCCGGGAUUUUCUCGGAUCUUCCAGUGCGCCUCGUCAUCAUACAAUGUGGGAGGGGUCCGGGAUUUUCUCGGCCGGGAUUUUCUCGGACCCCAUGCGUCUCGUCAUCAUACAAUGGGAGGGGUCCGGGAUUUUCUCGGCCGGGAUUUUCUCGGACCCCGUGCGUCUCGUCAUCAUGCUGUUAGGAGGGGCCCGGGAUUUUCUCGGCCGGGAUUUUCUUGGGCCCCGUGCACUCGUCGUCAUCGAAUGUGAGGGGGGUACGGGUUUUUCCCGUAUUCCAUGAAAAAUGUAUCUCAUCAUACAUUGGGGGGGAUCUUCGUUGGUUGCAGGCAGGACCGGGUUUUUCUCGGGAGGUUUUACGACCCUUACCAUGCCGUGCCCUAGGUUUCGGUUUAGCACCCGGUACGCAGCACAACCAUUUUUCUGGAGGGGGGGGAGUUUUUCCCUUUCCUUUUUUUCCGUGCUUGGAAAAGAACAGGACGAGAUCAUAGCGUAGCUGUCGGGGGUCUUCGUGGUCGCCAGGUGGGGUGAGGGGCUUGUCUCCUUAUCUUGCCGUGUCUAUAGGUUUCGGUUUCGCAGCCGGAACGCAAGCAGCGAACUUCUUUCUGGGGGAGAUUCAUUUCUUCCUUUUCCUGCCGGAAAAACAGGGGGCAAGACCAUUUUGUGUGCCUGGUUGCCGAAUAUUGCCGUCACCACCGAAACCGUAGGUGCCCUAGCGGGUGCCCGUGGCGUAGGUGAUCCAGCCUAGUAGGGAAGUGAGCGUAAGCGCAUGACCUAAAAAGCCGCACCAAAUUACUCGGAGGGGUGCCCCUAAAAAGGUGCUUCGAUGAGCAGCCAACCGAACCCCGGAUUUCCGGGUAGUAGGAGGUCCAGAGACUAAAAGGUGUAACGGGGGGGUAAAAUCCCCCGGAGGAGUUAUAGUCCGUCGUAGGGUCCCGAUGAGCGUAGCGAGUGGCUUGUAAGGUUUUUGUCCCGGAUUUUCUGGGGUGGGAGCCUAAGCAUCGGCCAGAGGCUUGGUAACUCGGUAGGGACCCGCUUUAGACGUUAAUUUGUGACGCGCAUGAAUGGAUUAAUUUAUUGGUCCAUAAAAGUCAGGGGGGGGGCUUUCAGGAGCCACUUUCAACUCUCCCUUGGCUAGUCAACUAUCGAUAACAGGGAUGAGUCGGUAGUGGCGAGACAACCUGGUACGAGGGACCUCUCGAGCGCAAGCUUGAGAAAAUCUCGUGGCGAGCCCCUGGCGAGUAAUUGCUGGAUGGCCGUCGUAACGCGCGCAAAGGUGUCGGGUGCCCUGAUUUUACCGUCAGGGUGCCUUAAGGAACGUGCUACUCCCACCCGCGAGGGUGCAAACCACUGGAGCUCUCAUCCGGUAAAGGUGGUUUGAGCUUUUGAUCUCGGUAACAAAUGACCGAGGGAGGCCGGUAUCAAGGUAAUGAGAUUCCCACUGUCCCUACCUACUAUCUAGCGAAACCACAGCCAAGGGAACGGGCUUGGCACAAUUAGCGGGGAAAGAAGACCCUGAACUCAACGGGGUCAACAGGGGGCACCUUCCGGGGUGUGUAACCCUCUAGUCAACUCGAUACAACUCUUGGCAAACCAUUUUAGCGAGGUUUCCAGGGGAGUACAAGCAAUCGGGUGGCAAGACAACCUGGUACGAGGAAGGCUUGGAUGGCAACGUCUGAGUUAAUCUCGUGGCGAGUCCUUUAGCGAGGGCCGUCGUAACGCACGCAAAGGUGUCGGUCCGGGUAUUUUCGGGUACUUGGGCUUAAGGAACGUGCUAUUCCCACGCAAGGUUGUAGAGCAAUCUAUGGCCGAGUGUGUUCUCUUGAUUAGGGCUUGUACCCCGAAGCUUGAGAAAGCGGUGCUACGGCUAUCUGGUAAUAGGUUUAGCGGCCUUGCACCCCCCGUGGUUCGAUCCUGAGCGGAAAUGCUCGGGAUGAAGCUGGUAAAAAAAGUUGAGCUUGACUCUAGGCACAGAAGCGAGGUGAUUCUAAAGGUGUAGCAUAGGUGGGAGGGCCUGGCCCGACCUUGAAAUACCACUACUUUCGACAUCGCUUUGCUAAUGCUGUAACGAACGAACGACCCCCAGGACCGUUGCCCGCAAGGGUGACACUUGGUAAGGUCAUAUUCUAGCGCUUUCCUCGUUGGGUACGAUGGUUUGGCUCCUCUGGGAUAGUACUUCGGGACUGCAAACUGGGCUUCCGGGUUCGGUGCGCAUUGUUCUGGGGGAACCAGGGAUGGUUGGACUGUCCUCUGCCUGGCAAUUUUGGGUACGUAAGCCGUGUAGCAGACUAUCUGUGUUGGGGAGUUUGGCUGGGGCGGAAAACUGCUACACGGCAACGGCAGUCUCCUAAGGUCCACUCAGAGACGACAGAAACGUCUCGUAGAGCAUAAAGGUAAAAGUGGGCUUAACUCGCAUUUUCAGUAGUAAUGUGAAGCAAGAAAUUGAGGCUUAACGAUCCUUAGCAGCGGGUGCCAGCCCAUGCUUGAGGUGAGAGAAAAGUUACCACAGGGAUUGAUCAAACGCGUGGCUUUCCGGGGAAUUACGGCUCGCAUGUCUUGGACGCUCGACGUAAAGGCUGUUUUUUUCCGAUCCAGGCUCUAGUAGGGGCUCCCUGAUUUUUCGGGGGGUUUCGAGGGGGUCAGGAUAUCAGGUUCCGAGAAGGGGUUUAUGAGAAGGCAACUUACCCGAAAAGUACGCUUUAGCCUCACGGCGACAGUGGAAAUGGAGGCGGACUGCCGUUUUUCCCGGAUUUUGCAACCCCGGGGGAAUCUUUUGGAUCCCAGUCUACAUGGGGGGCGUGGCGCAGGUUGCCCCCCAUACAGGCGACACACCGAGAUGCUGGGACAACCCAAACCAAACAACUUCAGUACCAAGCGUUCUCCGGGGAAACCGGGGCGUGGAGUGAUCAUCACCUCCUUUUGGAGCCGGUGGUUACGGGUUAUAAUCUGAUUUUGGGGUCUACUAUGCAGGCGACAAGGUCUACCCAAGGGGCUAACAGUGGAAGAGAGUAGGCUUCUGCCUUCCUUCCGAGCAAUUGCCCUAUGGAAAUGGUGACUACGCGUCUCAACGACUGCAAAGGUGUGGGUGCUGAUGGGCGUAAGCUGUUACCCUUAAAAGUGAUAGUGAUACGAUCCGCCGGUGCUUAAGGUACAGUCUAUCCCCACCCGCAAGGGUGCCCGAACUCCCAACCAGAAAAGUAUUGGACCUUCGGGUCCGAGAAAACCUGGGAAUCCACCACUGCAGGAUUCAGUUCUGGGACAUGAGUUUCUCCGUUAUCGAUGGAUAUCCGUUAAGUAGUCUCUGACCCGGCACAUUUUUUCACCGCCGGCUUCAGGACGAAAGGGUACCGGGUAUUUCGGGGGGUUCGUGUGGUACGGGGAACUGGCUUGUGGCCGCCAAGCGUUCAUAGCGACGUGGC